UUUUUUUACCGUACCAGAGACGCUGUCAUUAACGAAAAAGAUGAACCAAGACCUAGAACUCCUGAGGAAACCUUCCUCUUUGUACAUCAAGAGCCAUGGCAACAACGAAUGCUUGAAAGAUAUGGUAGUGAACUGGCCCUGAUGGACGCCACGUACAAAACGACAAGGAGAAAUACCGCGGUCUGUAAGAUUUGCAAAGACGACGAUGGAGAGGAUUGGCUUGGGUGCGAUAGCUGUUGCCAGGUUUUCCAUGCAAGUUGUCUGGAUGUGCCUUUCGCGGAGACGCUUACGCAACAUUUCACCUGUCCUUAGGGUGGCUUCUUGUCGGUACAAGUAGAGUUUAAAUUUUAAAGCUGACUAUAACAAUGAACCAGAUGAUGAACUUAAUGUCAUGUACAGACCUUAAUUUGCAAGAUAAGAAAUACAGUCCUUGGUAGUCAAUUAAGAUAGAUUUUCACGAGCGUCAAUGGUGCAGAAUCGUAACUUGAUGGAGCCAACAGUGGACAACAUCCCAGAAUUCAAACUUUGUGAUUUUUUUCUCGGCUUAAACGCUAAGUCAGUUGUUCAAUUGAAUAGGAAGAAAAACAUUUCGAACGGAAAACAGAAUUAUUUGCACGUGUGGAUCUUUUGAGAAAAGGUCUCCUAAACGAGUGGUCUUGAUUAUAAAUAUUUAAGGAAUGGUAAAUACAUUAGCCUUAACAUGGCUGUUUCUCGAAGCUCAGUGUUUUCCUACUUGCCUUUUUUCCACGUGAAUUGGGGGCGAUUGAAUAGAUAUAAUAUGCAGUAAAAGAAGUUCAGCUGAUAGAAAUUUUAAAUUUCUCAUCUUAGGCUGUGGAUACAAAAUUCAAGUGAAAAGGAAGCCAACUGUGAUUUGAGUGCUUUGAACAAGUCAAGAUACGUUUUUUCGUCACACAACAAGUUACUUAACGUUAAUAUCAUUCUUCUUGAUGCCUUUCCCGGUGUCACCAAUGCCUUUCCCGAUGCCUCCGUUGGUUAAUAGAGCAUUAAAAGUAUUGUUCCAGUUAAA